UAGGCAUCAAUAUGCGAUGUGAUCACCGACAUGUUACACACGCCGCAUUCCAAACGAAAGUCCUCCGUACACCUUAGAUGUGCGUACGUGUCGUUGGGCUCUCUCCCCACGUCUACUACCCGUCACUAUCUAGUCACACGUCCACUGGAAUAUAAUAAUCCGCUGUCAUCUCUCUUCGUGUGCCUGUCACCGACUCUGCUGCAUGUCACUGACAGAUAAGGUUAUAUCACCAACCUAUCCGCACUCUCUGGAAUCAUUAACUUGGAAAUAUAUUACACACACGUACAGAUAUUGGUGAGGCUGGCGUUUCCAGCCGCACUGAGAGAGAACGGAGGUUUUGAAGUGUGUACCAGAAGCGGAAACGGGUGCAGGCGCAGCAUCCGGGAACAGCUCGAUCGUUGCAGGUGGUGCCACUCUAUAACGUAGCAUCUGCGGGGAGUUGAAGGAUUUUCGUCUGGCGUUUAACCAAUACAAGAUAUCGAGGACGCUAGUAUUUCGACUGCUGUGGCUUUCCCGAACGUAACUUGCUUGAUAGGUCCCGAUGGGGAAUUGUACUGGCAAGUGACGAGGCACAAGGGCCAAUGUUCACCCCCACAGUACGUUUGGAAUUCAUCAUCGACCGAGCCACUCAAACAUCCCUACGGGAACGAACUUGGCUUCGCAUUGACAACAGCUGGUAGCAACAUGUAUGGCAUCAUAAUGUGUGAUUGGGUCACCAGCGCAGAUGACGUCACGUAACACUCAGUACUAGUUCAUUGGGAACUAGGAGUCGUGUGUGCGACUGUCGGCAAUUGAUAUUCCAGGGUGGUAUCAGCCACGCGUAUAAUCAUGCCACGCGCUUUUUGCUGUCUGCAGGAGUAAACGUUUGUGUAUAAUUUGUGAAUAAUACAUUAUCGUAACUGAAGCACAACCAAAGUUUUUAUCAUUGAAUAGUGUGACUGCGAUAUGUUUGGGAGGCAAGGGAAGUAAAGACAUCAAUCCCACUUUGCCAAAGUUUUCGCAUGAGCGCCAUGGCAAUCCAACAGCUUUGGGCGUGUUGGCCCUCCACGAGAGGGUUAUUUGUGUUACUCUGCAGGACUACAAUGCCUCUCCACGCUCUAAUGAACACACCCCUGCGUGUUUUGACACUGGUGCUGGGCUACGGGGUUUGGCGGGCACAUUGUGCAUCUAUUCAGGGAUCGGCAUCGGACGUGGAGUCCCAACUUCAAGACUACUCGUACAGCGCCAGCGACCAAGGAUCACUAACGGGGCCCAAGAUGAACGGCAACCCAGAGCCCGGGGAUAAAGUCCCUGGUUUCAGGUACAGCUAUAACUCUGUGGCUACUCAGAAAUACAUGUACGAAGGAGUGAUCAUCUGUCUGCUUGCUGUAACGGCAUUUAUCGGCCUCGUGGUCUGGGUCCUCAAGUCUAACUUUGAGGAGAGACAGACUCGCCGAAUGCGACGGGAGGCAUCCCUACGGGAUAGGAACUCCAAUGUCAGCCCUCUCAUGACACCUGAUUCCGAGGAAUCAUGACACACGGAAACGGAAAUGAACAAACUAUCAACUGCAAAUCUCUGUAUAUAAUCAGUUCCAUCAUGUACCUGCUUAAUAUACGUGUGUAUUUGGGAAGGCAGCGAACGUGAUACAAACAGCAACAGUAUAGCUUGUGUUUCACAACAAUGUUGGAUAUUUUACCUUCAUGUUUCCCACCGAUUUCCCACGCUUGUAUGUGACUUCUUCGUCUCUCACCUCAGCUGAAUUCGUAAUAUCGCAUUUGACUUGUAUAUUAGUCAGUUACAUUGAUUUUACAUGGAGCAGUACCACGUACGUGUAGUGAUUAUGCAGGAAUAUCGCCAGUUGUCUUUUUGCAGUGAGCACUCCCCAUAAUACGCAACAAGUGUUUGCAAGUUAAACUUUCAAUUCAUCGACUGUUGAUUAAACUAAACGUUCGGGAGCCAUUGAAAAUAUAGGGUUGUGUUGCACGAUUCACAAUGGCGGUGAAGAUACGGUUCAUGCCACGUUUUGUUGAUUGUGCUGUAUAGUUCUGCUAAGCCCAGGCAGUGUAAACACGGCACACGAAUCAAUACAAACUGCAUAAACACAUACGGACUGAGUUAUAGUGUUUACUGCACCGUCCAAAAGUGCAUCGUGCUAUUCAUCAAUGGAGUCACGAACAAACAAACUUAUGAAAAGGUGAAAUGUAACCGGUAUUGCAAAAGAAAUAGGAAAACACGAGUUGCUGCUAAAAACACGAGUUGCUGCUAACACAAGAAACUGCGUUACCCUCAAAAUCACGAAACUUGUUUCUUUUCUUCUAUUAAACUUGUAUUCUUCAAAACAAAAGUCCUGCGUCACGAGCCAAAAAACUUCAUGCGAACUUCACCACUAAAUGUGUCGACUAGCUACAACGCAUCCAUGUUGCCAUUCGUCAGAAAAUGUUCCAAACUGGAAAUCUCGACAGCCUCCAGGGCGCACAAAGUCGAGCGUCAUUUCAAAAAAAGUCUGGUGCCCGUCACUCUUCUUAAUUUCACUCACUUGUCGUCAUGGAAUUAGACAACAUGGCCGCUUACUGCCCCACUUCCUGCAUUGACAAUUCAGUGACAAUUUACAAAAAAACAAUCACCCCUGUAGUCUGGAGAAUCUUCAGUGCACAGUGUCAUUUCUUACUGGGUGAGUCCAAGUCAAGACUUGCUCAUUGCUUUAAUAAUGUAGGAUCAAUUAUGACUUUCCCCGUCCGCCUAUAUACACACGGCUAGCGGCGCCACAUCUGACAAAUCAAAUCUCGAAGCAAAUUGGAUUGCAGACGUAAGGAUGGAAGAACGCGUUAGGCCACAGUACCAGUCCAUGCUAAAUCCCUGGGACUCGGUUCAGCGUACUCGGCCACCGCUUCGUCCAUUACGAGUGGUCGUCUCAUCAGUACCGACUGUGACGUAUGCAGACUCAUCCUCCUCGUGCCCGUAUCAUAUGUUAUCACGUUGUAGAUAUGUCAACACUUCACGACGGCUGGUUUUAAUUAGCCCAGAGGCCUUGGGAGUGACCUUAUGCUGAGGACAUCAUGUGUGUAAGCAAUUAUAGCAUGUUAACUGGUCGCUAACCGUAUUCCUUAAAUCUCGGUUUUAAGAUGGGAUAUACAAAUAUUGACCGUUUCAAAGUACAUGUACAUGUACAUACACUAACGUCCCAAGGAGAUCCCUGAAUCGUUUCAAACAACAUAUUAAUUUGAGAGUUCCACAGAGUAUGUUUAGAAGAAACAAGUAAAAUCAAGUAAUGUUUGUUUAUGACACCCCAAUAUGUUGAAAUAAGGGUAUACCCGUACAAUGAAGUAACCAAUCGCAUUCAUACUUAUUCAAUAGUGCCAAAUAUAUUUUCUUUUGUUGAAGUGGAAGGCCUAUCCUACUACUAUGGUAUCAGCCCACCACUCUAUAAAGUUGUCCUCGACAUUAUGCCCCUUUAGAAUCCGAGGUGGACUUACAAAGAAAAUCUUUGUUACACGUAGGUGUAAAGACGAAUUUCAAAGGAGUAUCGAUACAAAGGGCCUCCUCAGUGCUUCUUUGCAUGUGAGGAUUGAACAAGGAAAGGGCCUCAGCAUGCUCAGUGUCCUUUCGAUGGUUGAGCACUUAAAGUUUCACCAUUCGUGCUCAUUUGAAAUCCGUUCAGACAAUACGUUGAAAGCAGUCCAGUUAUACAAUGAUAUCUCUUAUGGGUUUUUUUACGAUAAAAAGAUAUCAAUAUCUGUGUAUAUACAUGCACUGUGUAAGUGGUUGCAUGGUGUUGACGAGCAUAAUUUGUGGAGUUGCUAAGCACACUAAAAAGUUUUACUGACGGCAAAACAGGUCUGAUCACCAACCAAAUCUCAUGCGAAUGUGAUGCACAGAUCUGUUGCUUGUGGUUCUAGACUGUGCAACUGCUCUUUGCUCAUGAAUCUGCUAAGCGACGUGUUAAGCUGAGCAGCUCCACGAAGUCGGUAAGCUCGUAUUCGGCUUGCUAUGCAGAGCAGUGCUAAAAGAAGGAAACCCACUUCUGACAGCAAUUUUCACCUGCUUGUUGAGCACAUUUCAAAAAUUAUAU